rnacentral:rRNA from 1 species
UACAGAGGUCCCGAGCGUUGUUCGGAUUCACUGGGCGUAAAGGGUGCGUAGGUGGCCGGGCAAGUCCGAUGUGAAAUCUCCGAGCCCAACUCGGAAACGUCAUUGGAAACUGCCCGGCUCGAGGACUGGAGAGGGGACUGGAAUUCUCGGUGUAGCAGUGAAAUGCGUAGAUAUCGAGAGGAACACCAGUGGCGAAGGCGAGUCCCUGGACAGAUCCUGACACUGAGGCACGAAAGCUAGGGGAGCAAACAGG